rnacentral:lncRNA from 10 species
CCCUAAUUCAAUGAAUCAAUCAAUAAAAUAAAAAAUAAAAAUAAAAAUAAAACAAGCUAGCCCAUUACUGUUUCACAAAUGUUGCCAGAAGACACAAGACUCCUGGGCCAGAGACAAGGGACUUUAUUACUCACCAGCCAGCAGGGAGCAUGAGCAUCAAUGCCUUGGUAUUCAUUCUCCUGGACUCCAAGGUCCCACGGGGGCUGGUGCAGAUGUCUGUAAUCCCGUGGGUUCUGAAGAAGAUAAAGAGCUCCUGGGUGGAGCUUGAUUUUAAAAAGCUCUUGCUAAAGAGGCUCCCACUCAAAUGCGGCCAUCUGUCUGGUCACUUGCUGCAGCCACGUUAGUGAAAUUUCCACACGUGAGAUGUGGCGUCCUCAAGAUCCCAAAAGGCUUAUCAGUUGCAACACCUUUGUAGUUGGAGGUGGCAGGACCAACAGUUUGUCUUUUUUAAGCUAUGAAAUGUCCCUUUAAGCUGCGGCCCAGCUAGUCCUCAUGAUGAUGAUUGGGAUAACAGGGUCUUUGUUCUUGCAGUCACAGCUAACUAAGGGCAGGCCAUUACCCAAAAGCCGUUUCUUCCAAAGAACGCAUAAGGCUGGGCGCAGUGGCUCACACCUGUAAUCCCAGCACUUUGGGAGGCCAAGGCAGGAGAAUCGCUUGAACCCAGGAGUUCCAGACCAGCUUGAGCAACAUAAUGAAACCCAUCUCUAUUUAAAAAAAAAAAAAUAAAAACUUAGCUGGGUAUAGUGGUGUGCAUCUGUAAUCCCAGCUACUCAGGAGGCUGAGGCAGGAGGAUCACUUGUGCUCAGGAGUUUGAGACCAGCCUGGGCAACAUAGUAAGAUCCCGUCUCUACUAAAAUUUUUUUAUAAAUUACGUGGGCACGGUGGCAUACAACUGUAGUCCCAGCUACUCAGGAGACUGAGGUGGGAGAAUCUCCUGAGCCCAGGAGUUCAAGGAUGCAGUGAGCUAUGAUCAUGCCACUGCAUUCCAGCCCUGUCUCAAAAAAAAAAAAAAGAAUGUGAGAAUGGUCAAAACACAGCAUCACUAGUCCUUAGGGAAAUGCAAACCAAAACCACAAUGGGACACCACUCCACAGCCACUAGGAUGGCUACGAUCAAGAAAAUAAACUGGGC